UGAGAUGAUGAUCGCACUGGGCUCUGAGCAGUUAAACUGCGAUAUUGAUGGAUAAUGCAGCCUAGAAAGCUAUAUCUGAUCU